AGUCUGAACCCUGAUGCAUCGCUGUUAUACGGCACUGAUC
rnacentral:snoRNA from 1 species